GAUGAACGCUGGCGGCGUGCCUAACACAUGCAAGUCGAACGGAGAUUACGGACGGAAGUUUUCGGAUGGAAGACUGUAAUUCUUAGUGGCGGACGGGUGAGUAACGCGUGGGCAACCUGCCCUAUACAGGGGGAUAGCAGCUGGAAACGGCUGGUAAGACCGCAUAAGUCGGCGAGACCGCAUGGUUUUGCCGGGCAAUGAGCAAUCAGGUAUAGGAUGGGCCCGCGUCCGAUUAGCCAGUUGGCAGGGUAAAAGCCUACCAAAGCAACGAUCGGUAGCCGGACUGAGAGGUCGGACGGCCACAUUGGGACUGAGACACGGCCCAAACUCCUACGGGAGGCAGCAGUGGGGGAUAUUGCACAAUGGAGGAAACUCUGAUGCAGCGACGCCGCGUGAGUGAAGAAGUAUUUCGGUAUGUAAAGCUCUAUCAGCAGGGAAGAUGAUGACGGUACCUGACUAAGAAGCCCCGGCUAACUACGUG
rnacentral:rRNA from 1 species